ACGAACGCUGGCGGCAUGCCUAACACAUGCAAGUCGAACGAGACCUUCGGGUCUAGUGGCGCACGGGUGCGUAACGCGUGGGAACCUGCCCUUAGGUUCGGAAUAACUCCCCGAAAGGGGUGCUAAUACCGGAUAAUGUCUUCGGACCAAAGAUUUAUCGCCUUUGGAUGGGCCCGCGUUGGAUUAGCCAGUUGGUAGGGUAAAAGCCUACCAAGGCGACGAUCCAUAGCUGGUCUGAGAGGAUGAUCAGCCACACUGGGACUGAGACACGGCCCAGACUCCUACGGGAGGCAGCAGUGGGGAAUAUUGGACAAUGGGCGAAAGCCUGAUCCAGCAAUGCCGCGUGAGUGAUGAAGGCCUUAGGGUUGUAAAGCUCUUUUACCCGGGAUGAUAAUGACAGUACCGGGAGAAUAAGCUCCGGCUAACUCCGUG
rnacentral:rRNA from 1 species